CAGACGGCUGAGUAACGCGUGGGUGACGUACCUAUCGGUGGGGAAUAACUGCCCGAAAGGGUGGCUAAUACCGCAUACGUCCACCAGAGAAGUCUGGUGGGGGAAAAACCGCAAGGUGCCGAUGGAGCGGCCCGCGUCCGAUUAGCUGGUUGGUGGGGUAACGGCCUACCAAGGCGACGAUCGGUAGCUGGUCUCAGAGGAUGAUCAGCCAGACUGGGACUGAGACACGGCCCAG
rnacentral:rRNA from 1 species